GAUAAACGCUGGCGGCGCACAUAAGACAUGCAAGUCGAACGGACCAAAACCGAAUGUUUACAUUUAGUCGAGGUUAGUGGCGGACUGGUGAGUAACGCGUGAGCAACCUGCCUAUUAGAGGGGAAUAACAGUGAGAAAUCAUUGCUAAUACCGCAUAUGCUCACAGUACCACAUGGUACAGUGAGGAAAGGAGUGAUCCGCUAAUAGAUGGGCUCGCGUCUGAUUAGCUAGUUGGUGGGUAACGGCCUACCAAGGCGACGAUCAGUAGCCGGACUGAGAGGUUGAACGGCCACAUUGGGACUGAGAUACGGCCCAGACUCCUACGGGAGGCAGCAGUCGGGAAUAUUGCGCAAUGGAGGAAACUCUGACGCAGUGACGCCGCGUAUAGGAAGAAGGUUUUUCGGAUUGUAAACUAUUGUCAUUAGGGAAGAACAAAGACAGUACCUAAGGAGGAAGCCCCGGCUAACUAUGUGCCAGCAGCC
rnacentral:rRNA from 1 species